AAUUUUUAGUUUUAGGGGAAUUAAAAAUUUUUUUUUGUUAGGAAAGAAUUUAAUUAAAUUUAAUUAUUAUAAUAUAAUUUUAUAAAAAUUU
rnacentral:tRNA from 1 species